AUCCCAUUCCAGGAUGUAAGGGGGAGGGACCCCUGGGUAAACUGGAGGAUACAGUUCCCUGGCCACAACACUUUAAAAACAACAUUCCAAAUUCUCUCCCCCUGUCUCUCUCUCUCUCUCUUUCCUUCCCUCCUUUAGAGUCCUCCUGGAUAAGGCAAGCAAUUUGAUGUAGAUUAUACAUGUGGAGUCAUGCAAAUCAUAUUUCCAUGUUAACCACACUGCAAAAGAGAACACCAACCAAAACAAUAACAACAAAAAAGAAGAAAAUAAAGUUUAAAUCAUAUGCUUUGAUCUACAUUCAGAUUCCAUCAGUUCUUUCACUGGAGAAAGUGAGAAGUAGAUCCUACAGACACUGCCCCCUGGAAUUUGGAUUUGGACAAUUUGGCAACUGUGAUUGGCCCCUGUUAAGAGGGAAAAGGAUAAGAAGUCACCAUCAAAAGCAAGUCCUUGACUACUCCAGGGUGGAUUGUCUUUGA
rnacentral:lncRNA from 1 species